AGAGUUUGAUCAUGGCUCAGGAUGAACGCUAGCGGCAGGCUUAAUACAUGCAAGUCGUGGGGCAGCACAGGUAGCAAUACUGGGUGGCGACCGGCAAACGGGUGCGGAACACGUACGCAACCUUCCUUUAAGCGGGGAAUAGCCCAGGGAAACUUGGAUUAAUACCCCAUAAGAUUAUGGUGUGGCAUCACACAGUAAUUAAAGCUCCGGCACUUAAAGAUGGGCGUGCGGCUGAUUAGGUAGUUGGCGGGGUAACGGCCCACCAAGCCUACGAUCAGUAACUGGUGUGAGAGCACGACCAGUCACACGGGCACUGAGACACGGGCCCGACUCCUACGGGAGGCAGCAGUAAGGAAUAUUGGUCAAUGGACGCAAGUCUGAACCAGCCAUGCCGCGUGGAGGAUGAAGGCCCUCUGGGUUGUAAACUUCUUUUAUCUGGGAAGAAACCACUCUUUUCUAAGGGUGUUGACGGUACCAGUUGAAUAAGCACCGGCUAACUCCGUGCCAGCAGCCGCGGUAAUACGGAGGGUGCAAGCGUUAUCCGGAUUCACUGGGUUUAAAGGGUGCGUAGGUGGGCAGGUAAGUCAGUGGUGAAAUCUCCGGGCUUAACCCGGAAACUGCCGUUGAUACUAUCUGUCUUGAAUAUAGUGGAGGUGAGCGGAAUAUGUCAUGUAGCGGUGAAAUGCUUAGAUAUGACAUAGAACACCCAUUGCGAAGGCAGCUCGCUACACUAUCAUUGACACUGAGGCACGAAAGCGUGGGGAUCAAACAGGAUUAGAUACCCUAGUAGUCC
rnacentral:rRNA from 1 species